UAAAUAAAAAAUUGCUGUCAAUGAUUGAAGGACGUCAAACAAAGAGGAAGAAAUUGAAGUUGAUUAAAUGGCUCCAGAAAAAAAAAUUGCUUAAAGCAAAAAUAAAGUGCAAUUUAUGCCAACAUACAAUGAAGCUUACUCAUAAACCCAACAAAGCAGACAACUAUGUUUGGUCUUGUACACGAAAGAGACAUAAGGGAAGAUUCAAGUCAGUGAGGUCUGGAUCGCUUUUUGCCAAGUCAAAGUGUAAUUUAUUCUCCUGGAUGAAGUUCAUAUAUCGGUAUGUAAAAAAA